UACCCACCUCCUCCUCCUCCUCUCCCCAUUUGUCCGCCUCACAAAGGCGUUCGCACCUACAAAGCCGGAGAUGCACCUGCAAACAAGGCAGUCCCCCUCGCCUGCAACUCCCCCCGGGGCGGCACUUUAUUUGCAAAGCUGCGUAAUUGGUUUAAGCUUGUGGGGAAAGAAGGAGAGACAGAGAAACCAUGUGAGUCACCGUGCUGAGACAUAAUACUACAGGUUCCCAAUACGUACGGACAGAGGCCUGAAUGCGGAUCCACUGAUAUUAACCUCCACUUGGCAAACAUCAGGUGAGUCACUAGAACCAUUUUAUAUCUUUACUGUGGAAAGCCUUCAGCCCAGAAGGCUCAUUUGGAAGCUUUUUCUGAUGCCAGAAGCCCAGGAGCAGCAAUAAUAGGUAGUGAGUAUCUAAUUUCCAACUUCUUGCUUAUUGACCUGAUUUCUCACAACGAACAGGGGAGGAGGAUUCUACACAGGCUGGAAAAAGGUAAAAAAAACACCGAUAAAACAAACUGACAUUGGAAAAAGCUUUUUAUUAUUAUGGAAGGAAUCUCUCAGUCUUUGCAGAGGGAUCAAACAUUUUCUGUCCUGUCCGGCUCUUCGAGCCUAUGUCAACACCACGGACUUUUCUUAGGUUUCUCUAUCCUAUCCCUUGUGAGUUCGUUCCCACCUAGCUACUAGAACUUUUAUCACCUCAUAGGAGAAAACAAAAAAACAAAAAGUCAAAACAAAACAAAACAAAAAAUCUACAUCACCAACCAGCAGCUAAUAACCGUUCCCCCCCAAACCUAAACAACUUUUCCAACAGUGGGAAUUUGAAGGGGAAAUAAAGCUUCUCGGGAUUUGGAAAAAGGCUUGCACAUCAUACCACAGAAACUGUAAUACACACCUGGGUCUGAAUUUCAGCUUGCUAUGUUUAUCAUUCAGCAUGGCCACAGUUGCUUCCACAGUGAUUUGUUCUCGAGUGAUCUGUGGAAAUGUCACCCCCACAAACGGGAUUUUAAAGUUUCUUAUAGACACACAGGAUUCAAAUGACGAGAGAUAGCAUAUCUCUGCCACGACAAAUAUGUUUUAACUUGUUCUCUAAAUGCAUUUUCUGUUAUCCCUUUCUUUGUUCUUUCCUCGUCUUUUUUUUUUUUUUUUUAAUCUGGCAACAGAAUUAAGUCAAAUCCUCGAAACAAACAAAACUCUGGAAUUACCAGAGGAGAACAACAUAUGAAAAUAUGUCUGGAAGGAAAUAAAAUAUAUAAAAGCACUGGAUUAAACCCCUGCUUUCUCAAAUGGUCAAGCUACACCCAUGGAAAUUGGGGCAAACCCCAGUGGAAUAUCAAAGAAAUAUUAGAAUUGCAGUCUUCAUGUAUACACCCUCCCUCUUUUCCUAAUGGAAG